UAUAUGGAGUCCGAUUUAGCCAUGCUAGUCGCGCGGGUUUAGACCCGCGGCAUAUAGCUCAGUAACACGUGGCCAAACUACCCUAUGGACAGGGACAACCUCGGGAAACUGAGGCUAAUCCCUGAUACAGCUCUCACGCUGGAGUGCCGAGAGCUGGAAACGCCCCGGCGCCAUAGGAUGUGGCUGCGGCCGAUUAGGUAGAUGGUGGGGUAACGGCCCACCAUGCCAAUAAUCGGUACAGGUUGUGAGGGCAAGAGCCUGGAGACGGUAUCUGAGACAAGAUACCGGGCCCUACGGGGCGCAGCAGGCGCGAAACCUUUACACUGCACGACAGUGCGAUAAGGGGACUCCGAGUGCGAGGGCAUAUAGUCCUCGCUUUUCUGUACCGUAGGGAGGUACAGGAACAAGUGCUGGGCAAGACCGGUGCCAGCCGCCGCGGUAAUACCGGCAGCACGAGUGAUGACCGAUAUUAUUGGGCCUAAAGCGUCCGUAGCUGGCCAGACAAGUCCAUUGGGAAAUCCACGCGCUCAACGCGUGGGCGUCCGGUGGAAACUGUUUGGCUUGGGGCCAGAAGACCUGAGGGGUACGUCCGGGGUAGGAGUGAAAUCCUGUAAUCCUGGACGGACCACCAAUGGGGAAACCACCUCAGGAGGA
rnacentral:rRNA from 1 species